rnacentral:lncRNA from 1 species
UCAAAUUUUAUAGUUUGCUUUUUUGAAUCAAACCAUUUUAUUUUUCAUUUCUAUGGUUUAUAUCUUUGUAAUUACUUAUUUUACUAAUAUUAUUAUAAAUAAGUGAAGAUGAAUCAUUAGAUAUCUUGUACAAAAAUAAUAUAAUUCACAUAUUGAUUAACUAAAUGAAUUUUGAUUUACAUUGCUACAUUCUCAAAACCUUCUCAAAAAAAAAAAAAA